rnacentral:sRNA from 1 species
AUUCAGAACUGGGACAGUCAUCUGAAAUGUCUUCAGAGACUGGGGCCACACAGCGGGAGCAGCUCAGUUCUUUCUCCCUUUCGUUUGCGAGUGUCUGUAUGUGAGACUCUGUGAAGUAGUCGACCACGUUUUCCCGUUGCUGAAAAGAAGCCAUUCUUCAGACUUUCCCUGUUCGGAUACCUUCAGUAACUUCACCUUUUGGAGAGAGCCACUGCCACCUUUUGAAAACCAGGACAUUCAUUCUGCCUCAGCGUAAAAUGUCCCAAGCAGCCUCUUGCCAGCAGUGCAGAGCCUGGUUGUCACCCAUUAAAGGAUAGGUCUCCCCGGAGUGCACAGCUCCACCUGGGAGCCUGGCGCGUCAUCAUUGGCCUGACAGCAGAGAGAAUUGAGAAGCAUUUCUCCCCUGCCCCACCCCGGGGCUGACAUUUCUAAGCAAGAUAGGAAGGGAGCACUUUCUAGGCGAGGAGUUGGGCGCAUUUGUACCGUGAAAAGCAUUCCUCAGUUGUGGCUUAAUGCCAGUUACGAUGCUGCCUUU